GACUCAACACGGGGAAACUCACCAGGUUCAGAUGAAAUAAGGAUUGACAGAUUGAGAGCUCUUUCUUGAUUUUUCAGGUGGUGGUGCAUGGCCGUUCUUAGUUCGUGGGGUGACUUGUCUGCUUAAUUGCGAUAACGAGCGAGACCUUACUCUGCUAAAUAGCCAGGCUAGCUUUGGCUGGUCGCCGGCUUCUUAGAGAGACUAUCAACUCAAGUUGAUGGAAGUUUGAGGCAAUAACAGGUCUGUGAUGCCCUUAGAUAUUCUGGGCCGCACGCGCGCUACACUGACAGAGCCAACGAGUUCUUUCCCUUGGCCGAAAGGUCUGGGUAAUCUUGUUAAACUCUGUCGUGCUGGGGAUAAAGCAUUGCAAUUAUUGCUUUUCAACGAGGAAUGCCUAGUAAGCGCGUGUCAUCAGCAUGCGUUGAUUACGUCCCUGACCUUUGUACACACCGCCCGUCGCUACUACCGAUUGAAUGGCUCAGUGAGGCCUUCGGACUGGCUCGGGGAGGUUGGCAACGACCACCCCAAGCCGGAAAGUUGGUCAAACUCGGUCAUUUAGAGGAAGUAAAAGUCGUAACAAGGU
rnacentral:rRNA from 1 species